CCUACGGGUGGCAGCAGUGGGGAAUUUUGCGCAAUGGGGGAAACCCUGACGCAGCAACGCCGCGUGCGGGACGAAGGCCCUCGGGCUGUUAACCGCUUUCAGCAGGGAAGACGUCGACGGUACCUGCAGAAGAAGCUCCGGCUAACUACGUGCCAGCAGCCGCGGUAAGACGUAGGGGGCGAGCGUUAUCCGGAUUCAUUGGGCGUAAAGCGCGCGUAGGCGGCCGCCUAAGCGGAACCUCUAACCCCGGGGCUCAACCUCGGGCCGGGUUCGGGACUGGGCGGCUCGAGUGCGGUAGAGGAAGGCGGAAGUCCCGGUGUAGCGGUGGAAUGCGCAGAUAUCGGGAAGAACACCGAUGGCGAAGGCAGCUCUCUGGGCCGUCACUGACGCUGAGGCGCGAAAGCUGGGGGAGCGAACAGGAUUAGAUACCCCGGUAGUC
rnacentral:rRNA from 1 species